rnacentral:misc_RNA from 1 species
GAUGGAUCCUUGGUGGAACCCAGCCGUGGAGCGGCAAGCACAAGAUAGAGUCCAUCGGAUAGGGCAAAACAAACCAAUCAGAAUUGUGAGGUUUAUUAUUGAGAACACAAUUGAGGAGAAGAUUUUGGAGCUACAAGGAAAAAAGGAGCUAGCGAUUGAAGGGACUGUUGGUGAUGGGUCUUUAGAUGCCCUGGCAAAAUUAACAAUGGAAGAUCUGCAUUUCUUAUUCAACACUUGAACAUGAGACAGCAUCCGCUCCCAUAGUUGCUCUUAAUUUUGUCACUGAUCAAAUUAGGAAAUUGCACACAUCCGCUUAUUAUGUUAUAGUUGUUCUUUUUUAGUAUAUAUGCCCCCUACUCUUAACACAAUAAAUUUCCAAUGGUUGAUUACUAAUAUCAACAAAAGCCCUUCGUCAUUAUAUCUAUUUCUUCCCAAAAAAAGAAAAAUUGCAACUAUCUAUUUCUAAAAAGAUAUGUAAUUGCAGACAGAACCCUGCGCACUUCUGGUUGGGUAACAACGUGUACAGUUCAUAAGCUUAUACAUAAUCCUGAAGAAAAUGUUUCAAACUGUUGAGCGUGCCAACCAACCAUGUUACUCGUAAUCCUGUAACAUUUCUUGUUGAAAAACACGUGCAUAUAGCUAUUCAAAAACUCAGCAUAUCAUCAAAAGUUCCCACCAAUUUUCUGAAAUAUUUAUUCUGGGUUUGUAGAAUAAAAAUAUAUUGACUUCCCUGUAUACCAGCAAACUGAAAUUAUAUGGAACUUCUUCAUACAUCAAGGAGAAGUCGUCGAGGAUCCUCUACAACAUCUUUGACACGCCGUAAGAAAAAUACAGCCUCUCUUCCAUCAAUCAGCCUGUGAUCAUACGUCAAUGCUAUGUACAUCAUUGGCCUUGGGACUAUGUUGCCCUCAACAACCAUUGGUCGGUUGACGAUAGAGUGCAUGCCCAAGAUAGCAGACUGGGGAGGGUUGAUAAUUGGUGUGCUCAAAAGGCUUCCAUAAACACCACCAUUAGAUAUUGUGAAUGUACCUCCAGCCAUCUCAUCAAUUGAUAUAGAACCAUCAUUUGCUUUCAUAGCUAGAGUGUUGAUCUCCUUCUCUAUCUCCGCAAAGUUCAUACUACCAGCAUCACGGAUAACUGGAACAACAAGACCCUUUGGAGUGCCAACAGCAAUGCUAAUAUCAAUGUAAUCUCUAUAUAUGAUAUCAUCUCCAUCAAUGACAGCAUUUACAACUGGUUGGUACUGAAGUGCGCUAACUGCAGCUUUGACAAAUCCUGACAUAAAUCCCAAUUUCACUCCAUGUUUUUCCACAAAUGCAUCUUUAUAAUCAGAGCGGAGCUUCAUCAAGUUUGUCAUAUCAACCUCGUUGAAUGUGGUCAACAUUGCAAAUGUAUUUUGGGAAUCUUUCAAGCGUGCUGCAACCCGCUUCCUUAAUCUUGUCAUGGGAACUCUUCUUUCUCUGUCCUUUGGUGGAAGCUGGGGUUCCGUGGGUUUAGGAGGUGGUGGAGGAGCUUUGGCUGCAGGUUGUGGUGCAGAUGGUGCUCUUUUAGUCUCCUUACUGGAGGAAGCCUUUGCUGUAGGGGUUUGUGUUUUUUCACUCUCCUUUUUUGCAGGAGGGGGAGUCUCUGGAGCUGCCUUUUCUUGUGGUGCAGUUUGUGUUACUGCUUCUGCUGAUUUUGAAAUGACAGCAAUCUUGGUACCUGGUUCCACCGUUUCACCUUCCUUGGCUACUAACUUCUGGAUAACACCAGCUUCAGGACUAGCUACAUCAAUGGUCACCUUGUCAGUUUCAAUCUGGGCAAUGAGCUCAUCAACUUCAACUCUGUCACCAGGUUUCUUCAAGAAUUUUGCCAAAGUGCCAUCAGUAAUGGAUUCACCCAUGAAAGGGACAACAGCAUCAACUAGGUCUCCACUAUCUGAAGAAAAUGAUCUAUUCUUCAAACCAAUUUGAUAUUCAGGUUGCACCAAUAUAGUAACUUCCCUUCCUAGCUUUGCUACAUGAAUGCCUAAGGAAGUGGAGUAACUAAAGCUCUGGAAAAUACUGCCACUGACUAUAGCCUGCAUGAUCCCUAAUAGAUUAACAUCUCCACCAAACUUCAUAAUAAAUAGAUUUUGAAUUGAAACUUAUGUACAAUAUCCUCCUUUUGUGCGAAACAUCUUGGCCUGAUUGCUGCUGGCCUAAUUCUUGAAACCGACUUGCCUGCAACCCAAGACGAAGCAACUCCGCGGCGAAUAAUUCCCCAAAUCAUCUCUUACACCUCUCACUAUCGAAUUUUUAGAAGUUCAACAGUUAGUGAUUCUGAUGGAGGAAGAGAAGAAGAGUUGUUCUAGAAGAAAGCAGAUAGAGCGAUUCUGAAUAUAGAAAGAGAAGGAAAAGAAGAGAAGAAAAGUAUAAAAAUGAAAGAGAGAUUCUAGGCUUCUAGUGACUUUUUCUCAUAGACCAUCAAACUUGCGUUCCGUCUGGCAAAUUUCUUUGUGGCGUGGCGAGGCGUACUUUUGUCGUGUAGGGCUGAUCAUUCACC